CAACUUCCCACAGCCAGUGAACACAGACAUUCCCACUUCCUCACGGAAGGACCAGGACAGCCCAGGCUGGGUCCCAUCUCCAGGCCUUGACAUCCCCAGGCUUGGGGUAGCCAGGGGAUGGAGCCCCCACGACCACCGGCUGCUCCCUGUGUGUUCAUCCAGUUCAGUGGUCCUUCUGAUGUCAGUAACAGCACCUGCUAUAGAAGGCCUGCUCUCCUCGGCGGCCCCCAGAGGACAAGCCUGGACACAACCUCGAUGCCCAGCCCCUGGGGAUCGGAUGACUGUGGGCAGGAACACGUGCACAGGGAAAUACCAUGAGAAAGAACUUGGAAAGGAGACCACAGUGCGUAAAAGAAAACAAAUGGCCAAACAGGAUGUGCAGCAUUGCCCGACUUCCACACAAGAUUUCUUUUUUUUUUUAAAGAUUUUAUUUUAUUAUUUAUUUGAGAGAGAGAGAAUGAGAGAUAGAGAGCACGAGAGGGAAGAGGGUCAGAGGGAGAAGCAGACUCCCCGCAGAGCAGGGAGCCCAAUGUGGGACUCGAUCCCGGGACUCCAGGAUCAUGACCUGAGCCGAAGGCAGUCGCUUAACCAACUGAGCCCCCAGGCGCCCUUCCACACAAGAUUUCUAUGUGCUUGUAUUGACAGAAAAAUCUGGAAGACUUUGUCCUGAACUCUUGGCACUG